CAGGCCUAACACAUGCAAGUCGAACGCCCCGCAAGGGGAGUGGCAGACGGGUGCGUAACACGUGGGAACAUACCCUAUGGUUCGGAAUAACUCAGGGAAACUUGAGCUAAUACCGGAUAAGCCCGAGAGGGGAAAGAUUCAUCGCCAUAGGAUUGGCCCGCGUCUGAUUAGCUAGUUGGUGAGGUAACGGCUCACCAAGGCGACGAUCAGUAGCUGGUCUGAGAGGAUGAUCAGCCACACUGGGACUGAGACACGGCCCAGACUCCUACGGGAGGCAGCAGUGGGGAAUAUUGGACAAUGGGCGCAAGCCUGAUCCAGCCAUGCCGCGUGAGUGAUGAAGGCCUUAGGGUUGUAAAGCUCUUUUACCCGGGGAAGAUAAUGACGGUACCGGGAGAAUAAGCCCCGGCUAACUUCGUGCCAGCAGCCGCGGUAAU
rnacentral:rRNA from 1 species